UUAGGUUUAGUGCUCUCCGUCUCUGCUGCAUGAGAUCACUCUUUUGCAGCACUGUUGACAUCCUCAAGUUGUUGUUGUGAGUCCAGCUGCUGUGGCCUUCAGGGGUCAAAGGGUCAAAGAUGGUCGCGGAGAGGGCAACGAUGGUAGAGGGGAGGGUAGGAGUCCAGGUCAGCUUCGGCUCUCAGAAAAAACAAAAACAAAACAAAACAGGCGAACAGGAAAAUGAUGUUGUGUUGGCUGUGCUGUGUUGGCUGUGUUAUCCCGAGAGGGGAGAAACAACGAGAUCUCGUCUCCCCCCUUUUUUGUUUUUGUUUUUUUUUUUUUUUUUUUUUUUUUUUUCACCAUAUAAUCAACUCCUAACCCCUCAAGUUGACAGGACAACACAGGUACGUGUUAAAAUUCUUAAGAUCCUGUUUAGAAACCUAAAAAGGAAUUUCCUAUCAUUCAGUAGUCAGUUGUCUUAAACAAUCAACAAAAACAUGUCCCAAGUCGACCCUUUUAACCACUAAAUUUGUCGUGUCCUCACUUAAUCCUCAGACCAGUGUCUUUGUCUUUUGACGUUACGUUGUUGUCCUGCAACCCAAAGCGUUUAAUUGUCAGUAAUGUAUAAACUAUAUCAUUUAAAAACAGGUGUAUGUUAAGUGUCGCUACUUUAACCUUGCAUGUACGUGCACAUGUAUGUAAGCUGUUUCUUCAUUGCAUGUAUGGGUGCGUCUGUAUAUGGGUUACUUUAACUUUUUCUCAAACGAGGCAUGUCUCUAACACGCACAUGUGUCUGUUCCUCACCCUUCUCAUAUCUUUCUCUGGUUGUGUGUGGUUUUAUUUGUUUCAGUGAUUUACCAGGAACAUCUUUUCCUUUUCUCCAUGUCUUCCGCCAGAGGUUAACCCUGGUGAGAUUCAGGGACACAGCACCCAGAGCAGCUUUUGUCCAAACUCCGUUCACUCAGACCACGGCCGAUGUCCUCCCUCCCGUUCCAGUUUGACCUGGAGCGGAUCCUGUUCGUGACGCCAAUUGAAGGAUACAAAAAAAACAACAACAGCAAUAGAAUAAUAUUAAACACAAAGUGAACCCGUCUUCCUUCAUUAAAUAGGUUCUUUUAGAUGUUAAGGAGGAAUUGACUUAACCAGGCUGGCGGAGAAUGAAGACAACCGGACACCUGCUGCAGAUGGGGAAUCAGUGAACUUUUAUUGAGACAGAGACAAACUCUCAACGCAGCUCACAUCAAGAGAUUCCAAAUAUUUGCUGUGAGGAUGGGUAUAUAUUCUCUAAAACUUACAGGAGGGGGUUGUGAGGAAAGUGCUGCAUUAGCAGAAAAACAACUCCAUAAAAGGAAAUCGGCCUUGGG
ensembl:lncRNA